rnacentral:rRNA from 1 species
ACCCGCUGAACUUAAGCAUAUCAAUAAGCGGAGGAAAAGAAACCAACAGGGAUUGCCCUAGUAACGGCGAGUGAAGCGGCAACAGCUCAAAUUUGAAAUCUGGCUCUUUUAGAGUCCGAGUUGUAAUUUGCAGAGGGCGCUUUGGCUUUGGCCGCGGUCCAAGUUCCUUGGAACAGGACGUCACAGAGGGUGAGAAUCCCGUACGUGGUCGCUGGCUAUUGCCGUGUAAAGCCCCUUCGACGAGUCGAGUUGUUUGGGAAUGCAGCUCUAAAUGGGAGGUACAUUUCUUCUAAAGCUAAAUAUUGGCCAGAGACCGAUAGCGCACAAGUAGAGUGAUCGAAAGAUGAAAAGCACUUUGGAAAGAGAGUCAAACAGCACGUGAAAUUGUUGAAAGGGAAGCGCUUGCAGCCAGACUUGCUUACAGUUGCUCAUCCGGGCUUUUGCCCGGUGCACUCUUCUGUAGGCAGGCCAGCAUCAGUUUGGGCGGUAGGAUAAAGGUCUCUGUCACGUACCUCUCUUCGGGGGGGCCUUAUAGGGGAGACGACAUACUACCAGCCUGGACUGAGGUCCGCGCAUCUGCUAGGAUGCUGGCGUAAUGGCUGU